GAGUUUGAUCUUGGCUCAGAACGAACGCUGGCGGCAUGCCUAACACAUGCAAGUCGAACGCUCGUAGCAAUACGGGAGUGGCGCACGGGUGAGUAACGCGUGGGAACCUGCCUAGUGGUAAGGAAUAACUGCGGGAAACUGCGGCUAAUACCUUAUGAGCCCUACGGGGGAAAGAUUUAUCGCCAUUAGAGGGGCCCGCGUCCGAUUAGCUAGUUGGUGAGGUAACGGCUCACCAAGGCGACGAUCGGUAGCUGGUCUGAGAGGAUGAUCAGCCACACUGGGACUGAGACACGGCCCAGACUCCUACGGGAGGCAGCAGUGGGGAGUAUUGGACAAUGGGGGCAACCCUGAUCCAGCAAUGCCGCGUGAGUGAUGAAGGCCUUAGGGUUGUAAAGCUCUUUCGACGGGGAAGAUGAUGACGGUACCCGUAGAAGAAGCCCCGGCUAACUUCGUGCCAGCAGCCGCAGU
rnacentral:rRNA from 1 species